AGCUUCGGCAGAUCUAGCUUGUUUCUAGUGGCGGACGGGUGAGUAACGCGUGGGUAACCUGCCUCACACUGGGGGAUAACAGUCAGAAAUGGCUGCUAAUACCGCAUAAGCGCACAGCAUCGCAUGAUGCAGUGUGAAAAACUCCGGUGGUGUGAGAUGGACCCGCGUUGGAUUAGCUAGUUGGCAGGGCAGCGGCCUACCAAGGCGACGAUCCAUAGCCGGCCUGAGAGGGUGAACGGCCACAUUGGGACUGAGACACGGCCCAGACUCCUACGGGAGGCAGCAGUGGGGAAUAUUGCACAAUGGGGGAAACCCUGAUGCAGCGACGCCGCGUGAAGGAAGAAGUAUCUCGGUAUGUAAACUUCUAUCAGCAGGGAAGAAAAUGACGGUACCUGACUAAGAAGCCCCGGCUAACUACGUGCCAGCAGCCGCGGUAAUACGUAGGGGGCAAGCGUUAUCCGGAUUUACUGGGUGUAAAGGGAGCGUAGACGGUGUUGCAAGUCUGAUGUGAAAGGCGGGGGCUCAACCCCUGGACUGCAUUGGAAACUGUGAUACUCGAGUGCCGGAGAGGUAAGCGGAAUUCCUAGUGUAGCGGUGAAAUGCGUAGAUAUUAGGAGGAACACCAGUGGCGAAGGCGGCUUACUGGACGGUAACUGACGUU
rnacentral:rRNA from 1 species